rnacentral:rRNA from 1 species
AACGAACGCUGGCGGCAGGCUUAACACAUGCAAGUCGAGCGCCCCGCAAGGGGAGCGGCAGACGGGUGAGUAACGCGUGGGAACGUACCCUUAUCUUCGGGAUGGCUCCGGGAAACUGGAAUUAAUACCGAAUGUGCCCUUUGGGGGAAAGAUUUAUCGGAUAAGGAUCGGCCCGCGUUGGAUUAGCAGUUGGUGGGGUAAAGGCCUACCAAGGCGACGAUCCAUAGCUGGUCUGAGAGGAUGAUCAGCCACAUUGGGACUGAGACACGGCCCAAACUCCUACGGGAGGCAGCAGUGGGGAAUAUUGGACAAUGGGGGCAAGCCUGAUCCAGCCAUGCCGCGUGAGUGAUGAAGGCCUUAGGGUUGUAAAGCUCUUUGACCGGAGAAGAUAAUGACGGUAUCCGGAGAAGAAGCCCCGGCUAACUUCGUG